GGUGGAGGUAGCAUUAGUUGUGGCUCCAUAUUAGGCAUGCUUGGGACUACAAAUGUGUUGGACUACAGAUCCCAUGAGUCCAAGUACUAUAAAGGGGGAAAUCAAAUCUUCUGGCCUUUCUCUUUGUGGGACCAUGUGCUGCGUAGGAGAAGCUGUGUGGUAUGUUUCAACGCUUGGUGAUAAUGAAGCUAGUCGUUGCCUUGUGAACAUUAUUAAAGUAAAUUGUGGAAGUAAGGGUUGUGACUCAUGGUUAUGGUUAGUGUAGUCCAUUUUAAUGUGUGUUUGUUUGUUUGUUUUAUAGUAUGCUUAAAGGAUAUAUACUGGUGGAUCCCUCAGAAAUUGAGUAGAUUCAUUCAUUAACACAGAUGAUGCAUGAUUGCCGUUUACUUUUAUCUAAAAUAUUGGUGGGUUAAUGUUGGGUUGUAAGAUAUGACUUUUAACAGUUACACUAUGAUGAAGUGAUUUGAAUUUAUUGUGGGACUGUGAUUUUGUUUCGUUUAUUUGUCUUCGUUUUGUUUUAAUCAACCAAAGACAAAGGGGUUCCCAUUCUUGUAUGCAUGGUUGACUCUUAAGGUGAUUGGGCACAAUUUGUAGUGGUUUGAGUCAAGUGCGUGUUGGUUUUCUAUUACACUUGUAGUGUUAUUGGUUUUGUGCUGUGAUUUGAGUGUACUCUUUAAUAGUGGAACUGCCAUUGUAUGGGAUUGGGGAACCCUAUGGUCUAUAGUGGGUUAAACUUUUGUGUUCUUUUCGUUUCUUUGCCACUUCUUAUUACCAUUUGUGUUUAAUAAAUCUGUUUGUGCUUGCAAGGAAACACACUGUGGUUGUUGCCCUUCUUUUACACCUUCCCCAUUACUUUUUGUAACCCUCCCCAGGCCUUACAAGUAAUGGGGAAGGUGUAAAAGAAGGGCAACAACCACAGUGUGUUUCCUUGCAAGCACAAACAGAUUUAUUAAACACAAAUGGUAAUAAGAAGUGGCAAAGAAACGAAAAGAACACAAAAGUUUAACCCACUAUAGACCAUAGGGUUCCCCAAUCCCAUACAAUGGCAGUUCCACUAUUAAAGAGUACACUCAAAUCACAGCACAAAACCAAUAACACUACAAGUGUAAUAGAAAACCAACACGCACUUGACUCAAACCACUACAAAUUGUGCCCAAUCACCUUAAGAGUCAACCAUGCAUACAAGAAUGGGAACCCCUUUGUCUUUGGUUGAUUAAAACAAAACGAAGACAAAUAAACGAAACAAAAUCACAGUCCCACAAUAAAUUCAAAUCACUUCAUCAUAGUGUAACUGUUAAAAGUCAUAUCUUACAACCCAACAUUAACCCACCAAUAUUUUAGAUAAAAGUAAACGGCAAUCAUGCAUCAUCUGCAAAACAAAGAAAAUGCAAUUCAUGAUUGCCCCUUUAGAAUAUUAGAAUUAAAAACAGAAUUAAAAACACCUAACAAUAAAAAGCAAACUUCACAUACUCCAAUAUUCAAUUAAAAUAAGUACCUGUGUUAAUGAAUGAAUCUACUCAAUUUCUGAGGGAUCCACCAGUAUAUAUCCUUUAAGCAUACUAUAAAACAAACAAACAAACACACAUUAAAAUGGACUACACUAACCAUAACCAUGAGUCACAACCCUUACUUCCACAAUUUACUUUAAUAAUGUUCACAAGGCAACGACUAGCUUCAUUAUCACCAAGCGUUGAAACAUACCACACAGCUUCUCCUACGCAGCACAUGGUCCCACAAAGAGAAAGGCCAGAAGAUUUGAUUUCCCCCUUUAUAGUACUUGGACUCAUGGGAUCUGUAGUCCAACACAUUUGUAGUCCCAAGCAUGCCUAAUAUGGAGCCACAACUAAUGCUACCUCCACCCCAUUACAAUACACCCCCCUUAUUUUAAAUCGGCGUCCCGUCGAUCAAAUUUCUAUGACCAUGGUCGAAAAAACAGGGUGUUUGUAACACUGGAGAGCUCUGUUCUCGGGAGAAAGAUAUAACCAUUUGAAUGGACUUCUCUACACACGGCUGACUGAGGAAGAUUAUGUGGAUUUGUAUGCUGCCCUGCUGUGGACCGGGUUGUCCGCCUUACUAGGUCCACCUGUCGCUGCACUGGCUGUUCCGGUUGUCGACAUGGCUGUAAAGUCAGCUCUUGAGGAUCACCUUCUUCUGCUGGAAGUGGUAUGCAUAACUCAUUCUCUGCAGGCACACCAGGUUCACUUGAUAACAUUACUAUCAUAUCCCUUCUCUGCUCCUCAGGAUCCUCACUUAAAGGGAAUAGUCCUGGACUUUCGGUUCGACCUUCUGAUGGGACAUAAACUGGUCGCAACUCACUACGGUGUAUUUGUCUCACUUUUCCACCAUCAACUGGAAUAAUAGAAUAUACAGACCCUUGCCCCUCGGGACAUCGAACAAUUUGAUAAGUGGUUGGGUCCCAAGCAUCCUGGAUUUUCUUUCUGCCUUGAUGAUCAUGUGCUUUUUUAUAUACCAACUGGCCUUCCCUUAAUGUCAUCUGUGACACCUUAGCAUCAUUUACACGGGCACGCUGAGCUGCAGCUUUCUGAAGACGGGCUCGGGCAUUAUUGAAAAUACUUUCCAAAUUAUCUCGGUGGUCAACUAUCCAGUCCACAUUUGUUGGGCCAUAGUCAUCCAGUCCUAGCAUAAAAUCUACCGGUAAGUGUGGUUCUUGUCCAAACAUCAGGACAUAAGGACAGUAACCUGUAGACUGGUGUUCUGUGGUAUUAUAUGCAAACACCAACUGUGACAAGUAAGAUGGCCAGUCUCUUUUUUUUUCAGCAGGGAGUGUACGCAGCAGAUCAUGCAUCGUUCUAUUGAACCGCUCACACUGACCAUUCCCCUGAGGAUGAUAUGGUGUAGUAUGAGUCUUUGCAAUACCAUAGAUUUCACAGAGUUCUUUUAUCAGGUGGCUCUCAAAGCACCUUCCCUGAUCUGAAUGUAACUGUCGCGGGACACCGAACAAAUAAAACCAUCGUUCCACUAAUACACGGGCCACUGUUUUAGCAGUCUGAUCUUUAGUAGGGAUUGCUUGGGUAUAUUUUGAAAACACAUCUGUCAUGAUUAAUACAUUCUCCAUUCCACUAGUUGAUGGUUCCAAUAAUGUAAAAUCGAUUGCUACAAUAUCAAGGGGUCGGUCAGCCAUCAAAUGCCCCAUGAAUGUACGCACCUUCGGUCUAACCACUUUUGAGAGGGUACAGCGCUGACAUUUCCUACACCAGUCCUCAACAUACCUAUACAUUCCUGGCCAAUAACAACGUGCUCUUACUAGCCUUGCAGUUCGCUCCAUCCCCUGAUGGCCAUGGUCAUCAUGAAGGCAGGUAAGAACCUCCUCUCUAAGGGCAGAUGGUAACACAACCUGUCGGAUUUCCUUAUGACACUCUUGUGGCCAAAAUCGUCUAUACAAAACACCAUCCAUUUUCUCCAACUUCUCCCAUUGACGGACUAGCUCCAAAAGCUCUGGCUGUUCGAGAGAGCGUUCUUGCAAUGUUGGUUGCUGCCUGCGGUCCCAGUAUACCAUGAACCUUCCUAUGACAGGGUCAGCUUCCUGCAACACACCCAAAUUUUCCUUCAACGGUCUGGGAAAGACAGAUACUUUAUUAACCCUGCAGACCUGACCCUGAUCUGUAACAGACUGCCGUAUUUGUUCCGGCACAACUGCAAUCGAAGCCAGCUCCACCAAAGGGGUGGAGCUUUGUCUAGACAAGGAAUCAGCAUUGCCAUUAUUGCGUCCAGGCCUGUAUUUGAUAUCUAAAUCAAACUCUGCAAGCUGAUUUACCCACCUUUGUUCCAGUGCCCCCAGCUUUGCUGUCUGCAAAUGACUAAGAGGGUUGUUAUCCGUAUAUACUGUACACUUAUUUCCCAGCAGAUACUCUCUGAAUUUUUCAGCUACAGCCCAUUUUAGAGCCACAAAUUCCAGCUUCAUUGAGCUAUAGUUUCGCAUAUUACGUUCUGCUGGCCUCAACCCUCGACUUGCAUAAGCAACUGGUCUACACUUGCCCUUGUACUCCUGUGACAAAACGGCACCCAAGCCUUGAAAACUUGCAUCUAUCUCCAAGAUGAAUGACUUGCUAAAGUCAGCAUAAGCAAGCACAGGGGCACUGGUCAAAGCUACCUUAAGGGUCUGAAACGCAUCUUCACAAGCUUUAACCCACCUAUCCCCCAAAUUAACUUUUGGCCGCUUGGUUUUCUGGCCCCGAAUGACUUCAGCUACUAGAGCAUUCAAAGGCUCUGCAAUACGUGAGAACCCUUUCACAAAUCGUCGAUAAUAACUAGCAAAACCUAGAAAGGACCUAAGUUCUUGAAGAGUCUGUGGCUGUUUCCAAUUUACCACUGCAGCUAUCUUUUCUGGAUCAGUGCUCACUCCUGCAGCCGAAACGACAUGUCCCAAAUAACGUACUUUUGGGCAAAA